rfam:Mesocricetus auratus contig012457, whole genome shotgun sequence.
GAAGAUGGCUCAGAGGUUAAGAGCACUGGCUGUUCUUCCAGGAUACCUGGGUUCAAUUCCCAGCACCUACA